rnacentral:rRNA from 1 species
UACGUAGGAGGCGAGCGUUGUCCGGAAUUACUGGGCGUAAAGGGCGCGUAGGCGGGCAGCUAAGUCCGCUGUCAAAGCCCGGGGCUUAACCCCGGAAGGUCGGUGGAGACUGGUUUUCUUGAAGCUGCCAGGGGGAGAUGGAAUUACCGGUGUAGCGGUGAAAUGCGUAGAUAUCGGUAGGAACACCAGUGGCGAAGGCGGUCUCCUGGAGCAGACUUGACGCUGAGGCGCGAAAGCUGGGGGAGCGAACGGG